UACGCGGGGGCUUGAGCCAGUGGCGAGAGAAACCGGCAUAGUGUACAAAGCGGCGCUCAGCAUCGGCAAACGAAAAGCCGCGGUUGCCGCCGGCACUGAAUCGCAAGUCCGCUACCGAGUUUAACGAAAAAGGGGGAAAAAUCGCGGCGAGAUCGCCUCGUCCCUGCAGCCGCGGCGACUGAAACUCUCCUCGUGCGUCUUCUCCGUCGGCUCGUGAUUGUGGAAGUUAAUAAAAUACAGAGUGAACGACGAGACGAGCUCCCGACGAAAGUUCGUUUGUCGUUAUGAAGUUGUUGACACUUUCGAACAAAAGUGGGCACUCGCAUGCUUGAAGUGACCACCGACAAAUGUUUCAAAGCCAACGGACAGCUCACGAGCAGCGAGCUUCCCUCAAUCUUUUAAUCUCCACUCGCGUUAUACGGAGAAGGAAUGAAAAACCGAUGAAAAUGAGCGUCAACGAGAUCGGGUUCACGGAUCGUUCGUUUGGGGAACGAAACGAGCUGCUGCGAGGCCUCUCGCUAUCCGGUACCGACGAGAGUCGUCGCUUCAAUAAAAUAUAACAACAACAGUACGUGCGAUAAGAGAGAUUUUUCGCGCUCGGGCACAUCGCGGGGAGACGAUUGCUGCAAAUCGCCAGGACAGACAGCGAUUAAUCACGCGUUUUUCUCCUUCAUUCCACGAGCUUUUGUUUCCUUCGUGUUCCUCGCAAAUUGGCACGUGUGAUAAGACGAAUUUGUAAUCGCUGGACGGAACGAUUGGGAAAGAAGAAACAAAAUUACGAGGCGAAAUGAAUUUUCGGCUCGUUCCGGCUUGCUGGCUCGAGCACGCAGAUCGUCACGGGACUUGAGACGAUCCUGCGACUCUCGGCAACCUUUUUCUAAGCGCCGCGUUUAUUGGCAAGUGUGUUUUAUCCGUCAGUGAUGAAUGAUAAAUCGCGGAAAAACCGAUAACGUGGUUGUUCGUUGAAUUUUUUUAACGAGAGACGAACCCAUCCCAGGGACGAGAACGGAGUUGAGAAUUUUUAUAACGCACACAAGGACUCAUGAUGCAGCCGUUCUCGUCGAGCAACACGAUGGCCUGCACGGACACUCCGACGAGCCUUCCGACGGCGGAGCGUCCGCGUCAAACGUCAACAACCCCGACACCUACGGCGUGCCGGAACCUCAACUUCUCAAUAGCGAAGAUAAUGGAACCGGACAAGCGGCUGAGCGAGGCUUCCUCGCAGCCCGGUUUGCCCAGCGGUCAAGGCAGCACGAUAAUCAAUGUUUCGAGCAGCGGUGUGACGAGCGGGGGCUCGCGAAUACUUCAACAAGCAUCGCCCACCAGCGGCAUAUCGUCGCUGUCGUAUUCGGCUCACUUGGAAUCGGCCUUCAAGAAAUACGUGCCGACUCUCAGGCAUCAGAGUCUCCUCCAGCACUACCCGCUUCUGUAUUAUCAUCCAGGCCCGCUUUUGCGAGGUUUUCCUGGCGGUCACGGGGCCGCCGCAGCGGCAGCCGCGGCCGUUGUUGCCGGCGGCACUCCCACGGGGCAACUCCACAACUCACCGCCUCCCGGUGUCCUCCAGGAAGCCUCGAGGCUGAGCUUGAACGGCAGCGAAGAUUCUUCGCCCGAAGCGCACCAUCACAGUCACCACCAUCACCAUCACCACGGCAGCCACGCCAGAGCGACUCCGGCCGGGAAUUCGAGCGACUCCCCUCCCGCAGGACCCGCGCGGAAAAAAAGUCCAUCGCCCCGGGAUUCGAGUCGCGAGUCGAGCGCGAAUUCGUCCGCGAAACAGAAAACCUUCACGUGUCCGGACUGCGGGAAGGUCUUCAACGCGCACUACAACCUGACGAGACACAUGCCAGUCCACACGGGGGCGAGACCUUUCCUGUGCAAAAUCUGCGGCAAGGGUUUCCGGCAAGCGAGCACUCUUUGCAGGCACAAAAUCAUUCACACCGCCGAAAAACCGCACAAGUGUUCGACCUGCGGCAAGGCUUUCAACCGAAGCUCGACGCUCAACACCCACACCCGCAUCCACGCCAAUUACAAGCCUUUCGUUUGUGAGUUCUGCGGCAAGGGCUUUCACCAAAAGGGCAAUUACAAGAAUCACAAGCUCACCCACAGCGGCGAAAAAGCUUACAAGUGUAACAUAUGCAACAAGGCCUUCCACCAGAUCUACAAUCUCACUUUCCACAUGCACACGCACAACGACAAAAAACCAUUUUCCUGCAAGAUCUGCGGCAAGGGAUUCUGUCGGAAUUUCGAUCUCAAGAAGCACAUGAGAAAGUUACACGACGCCGGCUCCCCCGUUCACGCCGGACUCGGUGGCUCCACCGUUUCCGGACACGUAGAAAGCUCUUCCUUCUCCUCGAUCCAUCACGGCCCGAGUACGGGGCACGCCUUCGUCAGUCCCUUCCUCCUUCCACCGCCGAGUUCGACUGCGAGUUACCUGAGCAAAAUGUUGUGACAAAACGAGAGCGUUCAUCACUACGCUAGGAACAAGAAUCAUCAUCAAUUCCCGAUGCUGCUCGGGAGCCACUGUUACAACAGCGACGUCGGCCAGCACAUGACGCAGCCCAUGAAGUAAAAGCGCCUCCUGACCGCUCGCGUCGGAGUGUCUCGAUGCACGAAACCAAAGAUCAUAAAUUUAGUUGAGAGAACAACAACAAAAAUACUAGAACAAUAAAAUAACACGAAAGGAAAAAAAAGCUCGAAACGAAGCUCACUGCAGACUACGAUUGUCCCGUCUCCGUGCGUUAAUGCCUCCGCAGAUAAAAAGCAGAGCCCGCGAACCGUGUUGCCGUCCUGCCGUUUGUUAUCGAUUUUCGCAUCGCUUCUCGCCCGCUGACGAAUCCAUGCGUGGGCGUGCAAGCAGCAGAGAUUUCGGACAGCGUAACACGACGAGGGAUUCGGGGAUAAUUGGUCGAAGCGCAAUAACAAAUAAAUGGGACGAAAUAAACGAAGAUAGGGAGAUUUAAAAAGCGAGAAACAAUAAACAACUUCGAUAAAAAUUGUUAUUAAUACAACUGGACGAAGAACGCGCGAAUGUAGCGAGACAAACAAUAGAAAGCAUGCUCACCGAGGCGUAAAGCCCGAGUAGAAAUAAGCCGCAUUGGUUCGAACGGACGAUUUCAGGGAAUCAUGUGCAAAUGCAAAUUCGCGAAAUAGAAAUCCUCCUCGUCUGUUUUAUCCCACGUAUAACUGUACACAUAUAUAUGUACAUACAAAUACACGUGGAUACGUCGACGUACAAAUACAGUAUGUUGAAUCUCUUUUAGUUGGACGCGCAAUAUGGGCUCGCGUUUGCAGCCCGGUAUACACGCUAAAAGUAAACCCUGCUGGUUUGCGCUGAUGGGGAGUUGAAUCAACACGAGCUGCUUCGUCGCCCACAACCUCAUCUUUCUCCCUUUCUCUCUCACCUACUCUCAUCGCAUGUUUACGCGUCUGGUGCGAUGCGAGACCGGAGGAGGAACGCGCUCUCGCGCGCACGUCUCGUUGGAGAAAUACGCGUGUGCAUACAAGCGUCAUCCCCGCGGGCGAUAUUCUGUAACCGAUUACCGAUUGGUUUACUAGACGAUCGAAUAUCCGGCGCACACCCGCACGCUCGAGGUCCAACCGCUAGCGAGACAUUCGGAGAAUUCUAAGGAUCCUUAAUGCGGGCCCCAGACGCGGUGGACACGAAUUUCGCGCCCGGAUCGUAGAACCUGAUGCCCUCGAGCUUGGUUACUUCGGUUUUCGCGUUGGAAUCACAAUAUUUUUGAAAACCAGCCAUCACUUGUCGUUGCCAUGGAAAAUUCCUGGGGACUCGAGUUUCUCCGUGGUCCAAUUUCACGCUCCUCCCUGAUGCAGGAGCGUCGAUAAAAAGAUUCUUCGCGGAGGCUACUAAUCUCUCGAUUCCCUUGUUUUUUGACGUUUUCUCGAAUUCCUUCGAUCAUCGACCGACAGUUCGUCGCGUGUGCUUUCGAAGAUUGUCCAAUGGCCGAAUAUUAUCGAUCUUAAAACAUCGCGACUCUCCGUGCCCCCUUAAUUGCAUCCUGAAAAUCGAUUUUCCGAGCUUCAUUCAACGUUGCUUACAGCGAAACAUGCCACGCGCUUCGAAUCCUGCUUAAUGACACAGUCCUUGAUCACAGAUCGAUACUCAACGAUGAAUUGUUGAAAAUUCUCAAAACUGCCAUUGCAACGAACGAAAGUCGAGGACGACGCCCUUCGGUGUAUACAUGUAGCCGGCAUUUUUCAAUUGUCUGUCGAUUUAUAGAAUAUGUGUGUAUAUACAUAUAUAAAAAUAUAGUUUUCUCGCUCUACGUACUUGUUUGUAAAUAUUUGUAAAUAUACUGUGUGUCUGCGUGUAUACAGCGAAUACACUUUUCGACGUGAUAUACGACGAGCGAGAUUUUCAUUAUGUACACCGUUUAAUUUUCACUGUGCAGCACACGGAUAGACUCCAGAUCAGUGAAUCGUAUUAUAUAUACAUGGAUCGUACAGAUAUACGAAUAAAUCGAUAUAAAAAUAUAUAAAUAUAGGUAUAAAUAUAAAUAUUAUAUGUUUAUAAAUUUAGGGGAAAGAAUGUAUAAAUCGGUGUGAUAGUAGAUUUAAGAGAGCCGUCUAUUAGAUAGCCAAUAAAAUGUUGCCCACACACUCUCACUCCGGAUCGACCCUGGACUCACUCCCUUCUUGGCCUUUAGUUUUUUUUUAAUUUAUUUUCUUAAUUUCAAUAAUUUCACGAGUUCUGAGUAUUUUAUGAAAAGCUUUAUGAAAAGAGCUCAAAUUAGUCAAGAAUUUCGUAGGUUGGCAGUCUGAAAGCAAACCCCCAAGAUUUUUAGAUUUUUCACAACGAACGUUUGUCUUUGGCCCUGUUUUGAUACGUUUCAAUGAGCUGGCGGGUACGACGAUGAAUUCGUAGCCGAGAAAUUCGUAGAGUAAGUCGAAUAGACUUGACUUAUAAGACGAAUUUUUUUCGUCGAUCCUGAUCCCACGGUCUCAGUUGAAAAUCUGUCAACUCCUAACGUUAAUUUACUGCUUUUUUCAUCCCCGACGAGACAACUGAAACUCCGUUCUGUCCACGCGUUUCCUGUAAUCCUGGAAAAAUAAGAGUCGCAAUAUCGAGAGAGAAAUAUGUUUUGUGAAAAUUGAAAUAAAAGACAAAACACGAAUGAGACUUUACGAGUGUCGAGAAUGUAGGCAGUUCGUAAUAUUUAGGGCGAGCGAGCCUGUGAAUAAAGUAAAUACAUGAAGCACUGCGAGAAUAAAAAAACGAUAUAUGUUUAUUAAAUUAAUAUAUGUAGAUAUUCGAUUUAGAGUAGAAACAAGCGCGAAAAACGUAACGAGUGCGUUGAAAUUCAUAUUUUUCCUGUCCCCCUCUGUCUCUGUCUCUAUUUCCCUUCCCCCUCGUCUCAUCCUCUCUCAAUCUCUGUCAUUCGCUCUCUCGCUCACGCCCAGCCCAAAUACGAGACACUCUCUUGUAAAUAAUAGAUAACCAUGAUCCACGCAAUAAAUUCAUCGAUACGAAUGAAAAA
rnacentral:misc_RNA from 1 species